AAGGGUGUGGCUUAGUGGUAGAGCACCUGCCUAGCAUGCAGAAGGCUCUGGAUUCCAUCCCGGCAUUGUGU
rnacentral:tRNA from 1 species